rnacentral:rRNA from 1 species
AUGCGCCCCAUUAGUUAGUUGGUUAGGUAACGGCUAACCAAGACUGUGAUGGGUAGGGGUUCUGAGAGGAUUAUCCCCCACACUGGUACUGAGACACGGACCAGACUCCUACGGGAGGCAGCAGUAAGGAAUAUUGGGCAAUGGACGCAAGUCUGACCCAGCCAUGCCGCGUGCAGGAUGACGGCCUUAUGGGUUGUAAACUGCUUUUGUAUGGGAUUAAAGUGUUGUACGUGUACGACAUUGCAAGUACCAUACGAAUAAGCAUCGGCUAACUCCGUGCCAGCAGCCGCGGUAAUACGGAGGAUGCAAGCGUUAUCCGGAAUCAUUGGGUUUAAAGGGUGCGUAGGUUGAUUAUUAAGUCAGUGGUGAAAAUUCCGGGCUCAACCCGGGACUUGCCGUUGAAACUGAUAAUCAUGAGUGUAACUGAUGUGGGCGGAAUGUGUCAAGUAGCGGUGAAAUGCAUAGAUAUGACACAGAACACCGAUAGCGAAGGCAGCUCACAAAAUUACAACUGACACUGAGGCACGAAAGCGUGGGUAUCAAACAGGAUUAGAUACCCUGGUAGUCCACGCUGUAAACGAUAAUCACUAGCUGUUUGCGAUACAUUGUAAGUGUUUAAGCGAAAGCGAUAAGUGAUCCACCUGGGGAGUACGUCGGCAACGAUGAAACUCAAAGGAAUUGACGGGGGCCCGCACAAGCGGAGGAGCAUGUGGUUUAAUUCGAUGAUACGCGAGGAACCUUACCUGGGCUUGAACGUAUGGUGCAUGAGUGUGAAAGCACUCUUUCCUUCACAGGACUUCAUACGAGGUGCUGCAUGGUUGUCGUCAGCUCGUGCCGUGAGGUGUUAGGUUAAGUCCUGCAACGAGCGCAACCCCUGUUUUUAGUUGCCAGCAGGUUAUGCUGGGCACUCUAGAAAGACUGCCUGCGCAAGCAGAGAGGAAGGUGGGGAUGACGUCAAAUCAGCACGGCCCUUACGUCCAGGGCUACACACGUGCUACAAUGGUCGGCACAGAGGGUUGCUACCC